ACUUUCAACAACGGAUCUCUUGGUUCUGGCAUCGAUGAAGAACGCAGCGAAAUGCGAUAAGUAAUGUGAAUUGCAGAAUUCAGUGAAUCAUCGAAUCUUUGAACGCACAUUGCGCCCUCUGGUAUUCCGGAGGGCAUGCCUGUUCGAGCGUCAU
rnacentral:rRNA from 2 species